CUCCCUGGUACCAUACCCCAGCCGAUGAGAAGGCCCAGAACCAGCCUGCUGUCAGGAUCAGAACAAAAGAGGAGGACUGCAUAUGUAUGGACCCACUCCAGAUGGCAUGGGGACGGGGGGAGUAGGAAAAGUGGCAUGAUGAGGAAAUGGAGGCACAGACUGAUUAGAAAACCAGCUCAAGGUCAUGUUGCUGCUCUCUCAUUCCUGUUGAGGGCUCUCUGGUGGAGCCUCUGUCUCACAGGUCACCUGCAGGCCAACACUCCCAGAAGCAGCUAGCACCAUGGUUGACCUCGUCCAGGUCCAGGGAAGGCCUCCCUCUCCAGGACUCCUUUAGAUUUCCCCAGCAUCCAGACCUCACCUGCCUAAGUGCUGUUGCCCUGGAAGCCACACAGUGAGCACGAGCUCCAUCUUGCCCCUUUACCAGCCAAUGGGGGUAAAGACAUUAGCUGGGAAGCCUGAGACCACAGCUACUGCCUCGAAUCAGAAGCCCCAGCCUCAUCAUCUGGGGCCAGAGAACUAGGGCAGGAGGAGCCAAGUAGCACAGCAGGAAGCAUGAGUCCCUCCGAGGAGAAGCUGGUCUCUGAGAGGAGCACAAAAUGCAGCAGGCUGGAUAAGGU
rnacentral:antisense_RNA from 1 species